AGUAACGCGUGAGUAACCUGCCUUACACAAGGGGAUAGCCUCUGGAAACGGAGAAUAAUACCCUGUGAAACUAUCUUAUCGCAUGAAAAGAUAGUCAAAGUGUUUUAGCGGUGUAAGAUGGACUUGCGUCUGAUUAGCUAGUUGGUGAGAUAACAGCCCACCAAGGCAACGAUCAGUAGCCGGCUUGAGAGAGUGUACGGCCACAUUGGGACUGAGACACGGCCCAG
rnacentral:rRNA from 1 species